rnacentral:rRNA from 1 species
UACGUAGGGGGCAAGCGUUGUCCGGAUUUAUUGGGCGUAAAGAGCGUGUAGGCGGCCAGAUAGGUCCGUUGUGAAAACUCGAGGCUCAACCUCGAGACGCCGAUGGAAACCAUCUGGCUAGAGUCCGGAAGAGGAGAGUGGAAUUCCUGGUGUAGCGGUGAAAUGCGCAGAUAUCAGGAAGAACACCCGUGGCUAAGGCGGCUCUCUAGUACGGUACUGACGCUGAGACGCGAAAGCGUGGGGAGCAAACGGG